UCGGUUGCAAGUGCUCUUCUUCUUCGAUAAGUUGAAGAUACGCUAACGUGAUAGGUUGAAAAGAGAAAAUUAUGCGAAAAUUUUCCUUUUGCUCGACGCGUUUCUUCCUCAUUUGGUUAUCUUUACGGAUUUACUAAGGAGAAUUCAACAGAAAUAGUUCACACGGACGCGUUUGAGAGAAAAUUUGAAAUAUACUAUGAUGGUGAUCACUACUUUAACAGAGGAAAGAUCGAAUGAGAAGAUUUGUUUCUUCCGCGACUACACCGAUGUACAAUUGACUUUCUUUAGUCAUUAGUCACUCUGUAAUAUCUUAUAAUUAGUUAAAUUAUUACGUUUCGCUUUAAACUACUGCCGGUAUAUUAUUCUACAAUUACGACGAUAUCUCUGAAAAUGGUGAAUUAUAAUAACGUAUUGUUUAGCCGAAACACGAUAUUAUAGUCAUAAAGUAUCGAUCGUAAAUAACUUAUUAACUAAAGAUUUACAAACACACACAUACAGAACUAAUUAUCUUUACAAUGCUAUCAAAUAUUAUUAUUAAUUCUGCGAUAGAUCUACAUAGAAUUUUCUCUCUUUCGAUAGCCAAAUUUCAUGAAAUUUUAGUGACAAUAAAGUUGGAUAUGAAUUCUUCCGAGUUGACUGACAAGUAAACGUGAAACGAUCAGGAAUCUCUAAAAGCGUAAAACGAUGAAGUUUGUCCUGGAUCGAAUCGUUUCUUCUACACUUCUAAAUCCUUACUCUCUCUUCUACCAUUCCAUUAUUCUCCGUUUGAGCUAUGAAAAUGUCGUUAAGUCGAAGAGGAGCAAACCGUGGGACGCUCGACGAUGCUUCUUUAAUUUGUCUCGGCGCGGAUUGAUGGAAGCAAUUUCGUCGUUUGCGAGAAGGUACUCUUAAAACGUCCUCGAGAACCCGCGAAAAUUUACGGGCGUCAUUUCCUUAAUUGUUCCUCAGCACGACUUAUUUUUCACGCGAAGAAUCGGCGCUAGUGCACAAUUCCUUGCAUUCUUUUGCCUUCUCGCUCGUACAUAGCAAGCAAGGAAGAAAGGAAUUUCCAAGUUCUUUGGCCUUUUACCAUAUCCACGUGAUACGGCUGCCUAAGCUAAAAUUUCUCUACAUGAAGAAGGUCUCCCGUUCUCAUAAUUAUGAUUAAACGAGAGCAAAUGGGACAAUUUUUUAAUGAGAGAGGUCGAAUAUUAAAUAGACAAUUUUGAGCGAUUUCAAAAAUGUUCUAUGGUAAAUUCAAGGAACACGUUUACAAACGUUACGAAUGAUGAAAACGCGUGAUAAAUGUUCAUGUCGAACUACUUACACGUAUUUGCGUUUCGUCAAACGAUGUUCAAGUUAAAAGAAAUUUCAUAUCGUAAAUCUAAAGUAAAUUAGUAAAUCUUAAAGCAACGAACUAGAUGCAUUUAAGUUUGAGAGCAAGAAGGACUGUUGGCGCAAUAUAAACAACUGAGCGAGUGCCAUUUGAUAUGCAGAAUAAAAGAUAAUUCGUAUUCAAAUUGAAAGAAGAAAAUGAUAACGUAUGAGUCAAGAGAAGUAAUCUAAUCUAAGGACGAUAGGACAAUGUAUCUUUUAUUUUAAACUCAUGCGAUCAGUCGAGUUUAAAUCGAUGAUAUUAUUAUACUUUUGAAGCUAACCAGUACGAUGUGAUACGCCAUAUGUUACGCUGCGACUAGCGCAUUUGUCAACAUUAAUCAUACCUUUGUAUUCUUUAAUAAGUAAGCACGUGGCAUAUACCGUGAAUGUGAAUAUUUAAUAAAAAUCUAAAUUCACCCAUCAAAGCGCAAAGAGUCAAUCAAAUUACUAUCAAUUUUGCUAAUUUUCUUUACUAUUGAGAUCUAUAUAUCGCUUUGAAAGAACGAAAUAACGUUUCCGCAAUAAUUCUAAUUUUCAAGAUCCAGAAAGAAAUAUGAAGAAAGGUAAAAAUUUCUUCAACGAGGCGAAAGUUAAGUCGCUAUUUCAUGUCGUUUCUAAGCUCAAGCAGGCCAGCAUCGAGUGCCUCCGAAAAUUGCCCAACCAAGCAAAUUUGAAGGCACCUCGAAACGAGUCGAGGAUGCUGUAUUCUCUCUCUUUUUCUAACUCCUCCCUUCCACUCUCUCUCUCCCUCUCUCUCUCAUUCUCUCUCUCUCUCUCUCUCUCUUCUGAUGUUUCCUUUUUACAUCCUACCUCUCAGGAAAACUUGCAAUAUAGAAUCAAGUUCUCAAAAUAUAUUGGUCGCCAUAUUUAAAAAGUGAAAGAAGCAGAAGACGGAAAACCGUAGCGGUGGCUUUCAUUCAAAUAAGAUGCCGAGGUUGCGAGAAAAGAAGAACUAAAAAAGGAGGAAGGAAAAGAAAAGGAAGUGGAAGAACCACGCAAGAAUACAGCAGCAGUACGUCGGUGAGGAAACGAGAAAAGAAGAAAAAAGGUGUUGGUCCGUUCGAGUGUUUUUCUAUUCAGAGAAGGGUUCGUAUAAAGUUCUAUAUACGCGGCUUCUAUCCCGUUCUAUUCCAUGGAUGCUGAGAUCUUCAAGAGAAGUAGAGAUCGAGUAGAGGAAGGGACUUGGAAGGAGGGAACGGAGAAGCCUGUUCCCCAUUCCGGAGAACCGUUCAUUGAAACGAAUGGCCUUGUCUACCCCUUUCUUCUCAUCCUUCUGUAUCUCAUAUCUCCGUUCUUCCUUCUUUUUCUCUUUCACUCUUUCCGAACGCGAUCCCAAAUGCUCUCAUCCUCUUCGCAAAGGUUAUCUACGUCUUCAUCUUUCUCUUUCCUAUACCUCCUUCUCCUUCUUCUUUCUCUUCUUCCUCUUCUACUUCUUGUUUCUCAUCGUUUUCCUCUUCUCUUCUACUCAUUCUUGUCAUCCAGGAAUCCAUCAAGAUUACUUAUUCUCCACCAAAGGACGCUCAAAGCUCAACCUAAAGCAUUAUUUAAAUAAACACGGAGUUACUGCUGCGUGAAAAAGCAAACGAGAAAGGAGAGGUUGGGAAAAAAAGCGGAGACGUGCGCAAUCCAGGGUUAUAUUAAUGGCUCCUUAUUUGAGCGAAGAAACAAGAGGAGUACCCACCUUUCUAUGAUCUUAGAAAGAUGAGAUUUUCCACUCGUUAAGACAAGCCGCGUCUUCGAUAAUAGAUUAUUAUUUUAGUAUUGUAUUUAAACUUGAGAACGAAUACAAGACGGAACGAAAAAGAUGAGUAGAAAAAUUGAAGAUAAAUAUGCAUGUAUGAUAAUAUUGUGAACUAUGACUUUUACUUAUACUUUUUGUGAUUGUCAUUAUCUUCCGUAACGAUUAAUCUUUCAUCACGCUAGAUCAGUUGUUAAAGUAAAUUUUCAUUUCAACAGUGCAAUAUGAGGACUAUGAUUAUUCGACGACGUACGUGUCCGUUUACAGUAAUAAAUAAAUAAACUUCAGUCUGUUGGCAGGAGAAACGUAGUACGUAGACCUCUUUCCUGGACGAACUUUAUAGCUUGAGAAAGAUAAAGAUGUACAGAGAUGCAAAGAGAGAGAGAGAGAGAGAGAGAGAGAAAGAUGAACAAACAGGAGCAGGAGAUGAAAGAGGGGAGCGUAUAACUCUAUGUUUCAUGUUGUUUUCGUUCGCGUGCCGGUCUAUUUUAACCAUCACGCAGCAUUCCAAAAAGACAGUGCUGUGGAUACGCGCUUAUUUUUAUGAAUAGCCAUUAACCGUUACCGUAAGUACAAAUUUGUCUUGAAAUUUGAACUAGACCGACCUGAGAAGAUAAAAAAACUGGAAGAUAUUAUCAUUUAUCUUUCAAGCAAAUAUUGAGAUAUAAGAUUGUAUGCACAAAUCGUUCAAUUUUGCAAACAUUUUACAUUCGAAUAAUAAUGAGAGGUUAAUAUCAAAACGUGCAAACGAUUCUACAAAAUAAAAAAGUAAAAAAUAAAGGAAAAAGUUAAAAGCAUGUUAAAAAUAAUAAUUUUGCGAUAAUGAAAGUUGCUUUCUUGCAAUGCGUUACGGAUUACGCAUUACAAUUGCAUGUCAGCAAGUGAAACUUCAAGAAGAUUGAUCGAUGAAAAAAUUUAAUCCAUUUUUCUCAGAAUAUUUAAUCAAUCAAAUUCUGCUUUUGGACUUUCCUUGAACUUAUUGGCAUGGAAUAAAUUGUUUAAUGGAAAUGAGUUUACGAACAAUAAUAUUGAAAUAAAUUAUCUUAAAUCUAGUUAAAAAAUAUUUUAAAAAUAAUUAACAAAGACGUAGAUAUAAUGUUAGUCGACGAAAAAUAAGGAUAAAAAAGUGAUCGGAAAAAGAAGACAGCCUAUUUAUAUAUCUUCUAUUUAUAUUCUAGAAAAUAGCAAAAAAGGACACUGACAUUAUAGUCGUAGAUUCUGCUGGAGGGCCGAUUCGAGUAGAAAGAAGAAGAAGGUGGAGAGAAGGAGAAGAAGAAGAAGAAGAAGAAGGGAGGUAGAAGAGAAAGAAGAGGAACGAAGAGGAGUUGAUUUGGUAGGCACAUAUAGAUUGCUACAUAGGAACGUAGGAGGGAUGACAGAACCUGAAGCCUACCUGGCCACGAGCCAAACCCGUUCUUCUACGAGUUGCGAUAGUGCAUACUCGAUGCAUAGUGGGUAUCUAGCCACCACUCUAUCCCCACCACUCGGUCGCAUGGGUGCCCGCAUUGCAGCUAUGGCCCACCAUUCUAAUGAUGGCAACCACGCAGUCGUGAGGAUUUUCAUUGGCAAAAUGUUCGAAAAUAUCGAACGAAGUUAUAUGAGCAUUUUAAAGCGAUUCACUGGAAUGGCUUUUAUUUCUAACCGAGCAAAAGCCGAUUACGCAAGGCGAUAUUGGUAUCGAGAAAGGGGGAAAUGAAGAGAACGAAGGGGAAAGCGAAGAUGAGCGAACUCGUGCAUAGACGCAUUAGUUAACCUUCGUUAACUUCGAAUUGUCCUCCCUGUUGAAUUUAAUGUAUCGGUGACGUCAAAGCAACAUAUUAAUACGACGUAAAGUGCAAAACAAGAGGAUAUGUCCCGUACCUCGACGAAUAAUUUGUCCGUAGGAAGCUGUAUGUAUAUACGAAGAAACGAUGUUAUUCAUGAAAAUCUAAGAUGGCAGCUCGUAAAGUCUCCAAUCAACCUUUCAUUCGCAUCAUUCUUACAAGGUAUCGGUAUGAAUGACAAUUAUGAGGUCGAAAUAUUCGAUAACUUCAUUACGAAACAACAUAACUCGACACGUCAUAUAAAUGCUAGUACUUUUAACCAGAGCGAAAGAGAUAGUAUUGUCAAUGCCAGAAAAUAUCGGUCACUUAUUCAAACAUAGAUCGCUUAUAAUUAGACGCAUGAAUAUAUAGUUAAGGUACACGUAAGAGGCAAGGAAGUAUCAAGAUGCGCAAGUAUUCGAGGAGGAAUAUCACGAGGAAAUCAUGCCAAACGCACUUGUGU